rnacentral:rRNA from 1 species
AGGACGAACGCUGGCGGCGUGCUUAACACAUGCAAGUCGAGCGGUAAGGCCUUUCGGGGUACACGAGCGGCGAACGGGUGAGUAACACGUGGGUGAUCUGCCCUGCACUUCGGGAUAAGCCUGGGAAACUGGGUCUAAUACCGGAUAUGACCUCAGGUUGCAUGACUUGGGGUGGAAAGAUUUAUCGGUGCAGGAUGGGCCCGCGGCCUAUCAGCUUGUUGGUGGGGUAAUGGCCUACCAAGGCGACGACGGGUAGCCGACCUGAGAGGGUGACCGGCCACACUGGGACUGAGACACGGCCCAGACUCCUACGGGAGGCAGCAGUGGGGAAUAUUGCACAAUGGGCGAAAGCCUGAUGCAGCGACGCCGCGUGAGGAUGACGGCCUUCGGGUUGUAAACCUUCUUUCAGCGAGGACGAAGCGCAAGUGACGGUACUGCAGAAGAAGCACCGGCUAACGUACGUACGCCAGCGAAGCCCGAC